AUGUCACCAAGUGACUCAAAAUGGCCGUUUGUGUUGAAAAGGAGGCAGUACCCUAUAUCACUUUGUUUUGCAAUGACGAUAAAUAAGAGUCAAGGGCAGUCACUAAAACAUGUGGGGCUAUAUUUACCAAAGAAGGUAUUCACACAUGGCCAACUCUAUGUAGCGGUAUCAAGAGUCACGAGUAGAGAUGGACUUAAAAUUCUAAUUUCAGAUGAAGAAUCUAAAGAAAAUAAUUUGGCAAAAAAUAUUGUGUACAAGGAGAUCCUUUAG
rnacentral:rRNA from 1 species